CUACCCCGACACGCACCCGCCGCCCCCGACCCCAACAACCCUCCGCGGGGCCCCGGCCCGCGCCCGCGCCCGCUGCCGGGCGGCCGGCGGGACUCGCCACUUACCAACCCGCCUGGGACAACGCCGCGCCGGGGACCUCAGACAUGUAACGUCCGCGUGUCCAGCGUCGGCAGGUGUCCCCUCACCCGCGGCCAGGCGGAGCUGGACCCGAGACGCACGGGUCGGUGAGCCAGGGCUUCCCGCUCGGGGACGGUAAAACUCAACCACAAAGGUGUUGCCAGCCACUCCGCAGACGACAAGUUUCCUUUUUUUUUUUUUUUUUUUUAAAUAAAGACUCACUCUGCGCUUCGAUCUGCCCCGACGCAAAGAAAAUACGGUCGCACUGUUUUCAAGCCCCGCGCCCCGCCCCCAGCCCCGACCGCAGGCAAAUCAGCUCGUAGAGGACCCGAGAAACCCUGAAGUUAAGGAGCAUGGGUAAACCGGGCGGUUGUGUCAGUGCCUGUUUUCUCUGUCGCGCUGCCACUGGACCGGCCCAAAGUCCCCAGCGCGGCCCUGUGACGUUGGCGCCGGCAUCACCGGGCCCGGCUCCACCGCCCCCGCCCCCCCGGCCGCCGUCCUCUAGCUCUCCGCAGGGCUGAGGCGUAGGGGCAGGUCCCCGAAUGAGCAUGCGCGGCGGCGGCGGCGACGCCGAACGGCGCGUUUGACGCUGCAACACGAUUGGACGGCUGAGACUCACGACAGCCAAUCGGAGAGGAGCAGGUGGAAGGGGACGCAGACACGCCCUAAAGGUUUGCCCCGCCCUCCCCGCUUUUCCGCCUCUGCGGCUGCUGGGGAGGAGGGCGCGCGUGUGUCUGUGGGGCUCUGGCCCCGGCUGUCGAGUCACGGGGGGAAACGGGAGGACUUAAGCCUGGUCGCCCGUGGCUGCCUCAUCUGACACCAUCAUCACAGAGGCUCGGAGCAGACACUGCGGACCUGGACGGAGCCCCCUCCUGGGAUCGGGGAGGAGAAGGAAGGAAAUCAUUGCCAUGGGGGGAGCUCAAACUCAAUACAUUUGUUUCUCCUUUUAAUUGGGAAACUCCGUUUGGGCUUCCCAAGUCACACUUUUUUUUUUUUUUUAAUAUUUUGUUUAUUCAUGAGAGACACAGAGAGAGAGAGAGGCAGAGGGAGAAGCAGGCUCCAUGCAGGGAGCCGGAUGCGGGACUCGAUCCCGGGUCUCCAAGGUCACGCCCUGGGCUGCAGGCGGCGCUAAACCGCUGCCCCCCCUACACCCCCCCCCCGGCCGCCGCCCCCCAAGUCACACUUAAAAUCGCGAUGUUUUUCUAAUGCUAUGGAAAUAUGUUUUCAAGCACACUGCUUGGGAACUUAUUUUAGUGAAACGUAUUUCCAAGGACUUGAUCAGAAAUCAUUCCAUGCUGUUCGCCGCAGAAUGGAGUGGUGUGCUGGGUUUAGGCCAUACACAUGCUACAAGUGUAUUUCAGUUUAAGGACACCAUCCUGUCCAGGGGUCAGGAAAAGAUCUGCCGUUCUGAAGGUAAAUAGGUGGUGACUCAAGUUGGCUAAUAAUUUUUAUUGUUUUUUUUUUUUAAGUAGAAUCUACUCUCAACCGAUUAUUUAUAUUUUGCAAUUGGUGUGAGUUGUUAACUAUGAAAAUGAUAUGCUGUCCUGGUAUCAGAGUUCCUCACUGGCUAAAUGUGAAUCCUUACAGGUUCUCGUGGUGCAGUGUUGUAAGCACUUAAAAUAAUUUUAAUAAAAUGCGCCAUAAAACACUA